GUGGUAGCUCAGUGGUAGUGAUGGUGGACUACUAAUCGGUAGGUGAUGAGUUCAAUCCUCAACACCACA